rnacentral:misc_RNA from 1 species
GAUGAAGAACGCAGUGAAAUGCGAUAAGUAGUGUGAAUUGCAGAAUUCAGUGAAUCAUCGAAUCUUUGAACGCACAUUGCACCCCUUGGUACUCCAUGGGGCAUGCCUGUUCGAGCGUCAUUUACACCCUCAAGCUCAGCUUGGUGUUGGGCGUCUGUCCCGCUUCGUGCGCGGACUCGCCUCAAAUGCAUUGGCAGCGGUCUUGCCAGCUUCUCGCGCAGCACAUUGCGCUUCUAGAGGCUUUGGCGGAUCGGCGUCCAUCAAGUACACCCACAGUUUGACCUCGGAUCAGGUAGGGAUACCCGCUGAACUUAAGCAUAUCAAUAAGCGGAGGA